UCUCUCUUCCUUCCACACCUCCUCAAUUGUUCCCAUAAACUGAGUGACAAACUCCCAGCAUUGACACACAACGCCAGGAAGGGUGGGAUGAAAACUUUCCUGUAGCCUGAGGCACGUUGACCAAGACCUUCAGCCAAGCUAACAAGGGGUACCAGAACAGAUAAUAAACGCCUCCCGGUAUAAUCAGGAAAGAGGACCUGGCAUUAUGGAUCUUACCAACAACAGAGGCUUAAACCUCAUGCUAAACUUUGUUCUGAUCAUCUUGGUGCUGCUGCUGCUGUUUAUUCUGGUAAAACUCAUGUGACAGUCGGUAAGGAUCCAUGGAUUCCUGUGAUUACAAUGACAUAUCAACCAGCAAUCUACCACCAAGAGUAUUACCCAUCCCGGAGUUAACCAUGAGCUGCAAGGACAUUCUCUAUGGGACAAGCCUUGUGUCAUGACAGCCAAGAUGACAUCAAAUACAUUUUUAUGAACCAAUGCAUUUAGACAUCUGUAUGUCUUAGAAGACUAGCUGAAGAUGAAUUCUGUCUGCAAGAGUCAGCCCAGCCUAAAGGCAUACCGUCAGGAUGGUCUCCAUACUGCGAUAUAUACUGUAUUGACCUUAGUUCCAUGAAGCAGCACUGUGGAUUGCUAUAUUGAGUACAGAAAUGUGAUGUAAAAGCACUUGAGUCAUAUGCAUGCUACUGCACCUUAACAUAUCAACCAAUUCCAUAUGCAAUUAUUAAAUCAUCAUGAUAUGAAAAUGUCCCAAAUGGAUGUUUGGGAUAAAUACCUGAACAAGGUGCCAUGUGUAGAAUCUUUUAAGCCUACCGUCUUGCUAAACUAAAAACCACCGAUUUACGUUUAGCGUCAUCCAUUCCCCAUAGACCAAAGCUAUUCCGUCACUAGCUAGUGAGCACUAGUGCUACUGCAUAUAAAAGAUGCACUCUCACGUGUUUGUAGAGUUUAUGUGUACUGUCACUUUUAGAAUAUCUCUAUGCCUUCUUUUUUAAUUUAAUGUUUGAGAAGCACACUUCAAAAAAUAUUAAAAUGUAAUAUGUAGAAAAUACA